GAGUUUGAUCCUGGCUCAGGAUGAACGCUGGCGGCGUGCCUAAUACAUGCAAGUCGAACGCAAUACCUCGGUAUUGAGUGGCGAACGGGUGAGUAAUACAUAAGCAACCUGGCCAUGACAGGGGGAUAACUGACGGAAACGACAGCUAAAACCGCAUAGGUAUAAACGAAGCAUUUUGUUUAUAUUAAAAAUGCUAAGGCAUUGGUGAUGGAUGGGCUUAUGGAGCAUUAGCUAGUUGGUGAGGUAGAGGCUCACCAAGGCGACGAUGCAUAGCCGGCCUGAGAGGGUGAACGGCCACACUGGGACUGAGACACGGCCCAGACUCCUACGGGAGGCAGCAGUAGGGAAUUUUCGGCAAUGGGGGGAACCCUGACCGAGCAACGCCGCGUGAAGGAAGAAGGAAUUCGUUUCGUAAACUUCUGUUAUAAAGGAAGAAAGGGAUGUGUAGGGAAUGAUACAUCUAAGACGGUACUUUAUGAGGAAGCCACGGCUAACUACGUGCCAGCAGCCGCGGUAAUACGUAGGUGGCAAGCGUUAUCCGGAAUUAUUGGGCGUAAAGAGGGAGCAGGCGGCAAUAGAGGUCUGUGGUAAAAGGCUGAAGCUUAACUUCAGUAAGCCAUGGAAACCAGAUAGCUAGAGGACAGCAGAGGAACGCGGAAUUCCAUGUGUAGCGGUGAAAUGCGCAGAUAUAUGGAGGAACACCAGUGGCGAAGGCGGCGUUCUGGGCUGUAGCUGACGCUCAGUCCCGAAAGCGUGGGGAGCAAAUAGGAUUAGAUACCCUAGUAGUCCACGCCGUAAACGAUGAGUACUAAGUGUUGGGGGGUCGAACCUCAGUGCUGCAGUUAACGCAAUAAGUACUCCGCCUGAGUAGUACGUUCGCAAGAAUGAAACUCAAAGGAAUUGACGGGGGCCCGCACAAGCGGUGGAGCAUGUGGUUUAAUUCGAAGCAACGCGAAGAACCUUACCAGGUCUUGACAUCGAUCUAAAAGCACUAGAGAUAGUGAAAUAGUUAUAGAGAAGACAGGUGGUGCAUGGUUGUCGUCAGCUCGUGUCGUGAGAUGUUGGGUUAAGUCCCGCAACGAGCGCAACCCCUGUAGCCAGUUACCAGCAAGUGAAGUUGGGGACUCUGGCGAGACUGCCGGUGACAAGCCGGAGGAAGGCGGGGAUGACGUCAAAUCAUCAUGCCCCUUAUGACCUGGGCUACACACGUGCUACAAUGGACGGAACAGAGGGAAGCGAAGGAGUGAUCUGGAGCGAAACAUAGAAAACCGUUCCCAGCUCGGACUGCAGUCAGCUACUCGACGGCACGAAGAUGGAAUCGCUAGUAAUCGCGGAUCAGCAUGCCGCGGUGNAUACGUUCUCGGCACCUGCACAGGCCGCCCGUCAAGGNNGAAUUCGCUUAAGCACGCAGAGGGGUCCCUUUAGUGAGGUAAUUCUAGCUGCAUAUGAAA
rnacentral:rRNA from 1 species